rnacentral:rRNA from 1 species
UUUUCCGGUUGAUCCUGCCGGACCCGACUGCUAUUUGGGUGAGGAUAAGCCAUGCGAGUUGAAUGGGAUACCUAAAGUUCCCAUGGCAAACUGCUCAGUAACACAUGAUCAACUUACCCUAUAGAGAAAAAUAACCUCGGGAAACUGAGGAUAAUGUUUCAUAGCUGAAUUGGCUUGGAAAAGUUUUUCAGUGAAAGGGAUAAAAAAAAUGGUUUUUAUCUGCUAUAGGAUAGGAUCGUGUUCGAUUAUGGUUGUUGGUGAGGUAAUGGCUCACCAAGCCGAUAAUCGAUAGGGGCCGUGAGAGCGGGAGCCCCGAGAUGGGUACUGAGACAACGACCCAGGCCUUACGAGGCGCAGCAGGCGCGAAACCUCCGCAAUACACGAAAGUGUGACGGGGUUACCCAAAGUGUUCAAUUUUGAACUGUGGUAGGUGAGUAAUGUUCCCUACUAGAAAGGAGAGGGCAAGGCUGGUGCCAGCCGCCGCGGUAAAACCAGCUCUUCAAGUGGUCGGGAUAAUUAUUGGGCUUAAAGUGUCCGUAGCCGGUUUAGUAAGUUCCUGGUAAAAUCAGGUAGCUUAACUAUCUAUAUGCUAGGAAUACUGCUAUACUAGAGGGCGGGAGAGGUCUGAGGUACUACAGGGGUGGGGGUGAAAUCUUAUAAUCCUUGUAGGACCACCUGUGGCGAAGGCGUCAGACUGGAACGCGCCUGACGGUGAGGGACGAAAGCCAGGGGAGCGAACCGGAUUAGAUACCCGGGUAGUCCUGGCCGUAAACGAUGCAUACUAGGUGAUGGCACGGCCAUGAGCCGUGUCAGUGCCGUAGGGAAACCGUUAAGUGUGCCGCCUGGGAAGUACGGUCGCAAGGCUAAAACUUAAAGGAAUUGGCGGGGGAGCACC